rnacentral:rRNA from 1 species
GCCCAGACUCCUACGGGAGGCAGCAGUGGGGAAUAUUGCACAAUGGGGGAAACCCUGAUGCAGCAACGCCGCGUGAGUGAAGAAGUAUUUCGGUAUGUAAAGCUCUAUCAGCAGGGAAGAAAAUGACGGUACCUGAUUAAGAAGCCCCGGCUAACUACGUGCCAGCAGCCGCGGUAAUACGUAGGGGGCAAGCGUUAUCCGGAUUUACUGGGUGUAAAGGGAGCGUAGACGGUGAUGCAAGUCAGAAGUGAAAGCCCGGGGCUCAACUCCGGGACUGCUUUUGAAACUGUGUGACUGGAGUGCAGGAGAGGUAAGCGGAAUUCCUGGUGUAGCGGUGAAAUGCGUAGAUAUCAGGAGGAACACCAGUGGCGAAGGCGGCUUACUGGACUGUAACUGACGUUGAGGCUCGAAAGCGUGGGGAGCAAACAGGAUUAGAUACCCGCGUACU